UUAAUACUCCCUCCGUCCGAAAUUACUUGUUGCAUAAAAAUAAAAAUUGAUGUAUUUAAAACUAAAAUACGUCUAGAUACAUCCAUUUCCCCGACAAGUAAUUGCGGACGGAGGGAGCAUGAU
rfam:Triticum aestivum genome assembly, contig: Triticum_aestivum_CS42_TGACv1_scaffold_623555_7DS